GGAUGUGAGGGCGAUCUGGCUGCGACAUCUGUCACACCAUUGAUCGCCAGGGUUGAUUCGGCUGAUCUGGCUGGCGAGGCGGAUGUCCCCUUCCUCCCUCACCGCUCCAUGUACUUCCCUCCCGGAGGGUAGAAGAGGAUGGCCUUCCCUGCUAGAGCCUCCAAACAAGCUCUCAAAGUCCCAAGUUCAAUCUCCCACACCACCAUCAUUCAGAUCUGAGCAGCCCUCU
rnacentral:snRNA from 1 species